AGCCUCAACAACCUGAUUCAAGUUUCUUUCUACUAGUCAUUUAUUUUCCACUAAAAAACCAAUACAUUUGCAAGUUUAUUCCUCAGCAGCUAUGGCCACUGCCCCCUCCUCAGCCUGUGCUGCUCUUAGAACCAUUUCUUCCUCUGCUAAGCUUCCAACUACUGCUGCUUCUCAAAAGAUCCGAUCUUUAAAACUCCCUAACUCCCCCAUUUCUCAAUCUCUUAAACUUAGCACCUCCACUAACCCCACAUCAUUCUAUUGCAAGAGCCAGAGCAUCUCAACUGACUCCACAACCGGUAACAAAAUUAUAACUUCUUUUAUUACAUAAUAUAUAAUAUUAUGUCCAUCUAUCCAUCUAUUAUACUUACUAUUGCUUUCUCUUUUUUAUUGGGAAUUUUCUUGCUUUCAGCUAAAGUUCAAGAACUUAAUGUCUACGAGCUCAACGAGCGUGACCGUGGUAGCCCUGCUUAUCUUCGCUUGAGCCAAAAGACUGUAAAUUCCCUUGGAGAUCUCGUCCCCUUUAGCAACAAAGUACGCUCCUUUUUCGUUCUCACAAAAGGAGUAAAAAACGAAUCUUUUCUUAUAUUUUUAUUCUUAUGCUGAUUCUUGAUAUAAUAUUUCAGCUAUAUACCGGAGACCUAAAGAAGAGGAUUGGAAUAACGGCUGGACUCUGCAUUCUAAUCAAACACGAAGAGGAAAAGAAAGGGGAUCGUUAUGAAGCUAUUUACAGCUUCUACUUCGGCAAUUAUGGUCACAUCGCCGUUCAGGGAUCUUACUUGACUUACGAGGACAGUUAUCUUGCUGUUACCGGCGGAUCCGGUAUCUUUGCAGGGGUUUCUGGUCAAGUGAAAUUGCAGCAAAUCAUUUUCCCUUUCAAGCUAUUUUACACUUUUUACUUGAAGGGGAUUCCCGAUCUGCCGUCUGAGUUGCUGGUUACGGCGGUUCCUCCGUCGCCGACGGUGGAGCCAGCACCUGAAGCUAAAGCUUGUGAGGCUGGGGCUACUGUGAAAAAUUUCACCAAUUGAGUGGGGUGUUGAUGUGCAAGUUCGACUUUUCUUGGGGUCAUUUCCGGAAAUGAUGAAACUGUAGGAUAGAUAAUUAUUGUCCUCUAUAUUUUGCUUUUUUGGUAUCUUAAUUAUUGUAGUUUGUUUAACUAUUUUGUACUCCAUUAUGUAAUGCCCAAUCUUCAAUACUGGAUAUUUUUUUCCCCAAUGUAAGUUCAUCCUUUUCUCUUGACUUUAAGUUUUUCUUUAUUAU
rnacentral:lncRNA from 1 species